GCGUUGGUGGUACAAUGGAUAGAGAACGCGUCCGUAGACUGGAUGGAAUGCGGGUUCAAACCUCGCCUGGCGCG